rnacentral:rRNA from 1 species
UUAAGCGACUAAGCGUACACGGUGGAUGCCCUGGCAGUCAGAGGCGAUGAAGGACGUGCUAAUCUGCGAAAAGCGCCGGCGAGGUGAUAUGAACCUUUGACCCGGCGAUGUCCGAAUGGGGAAACCCAGUGCAAUUCGUUGCACUAUCGUUAACUGAAUACAUAGGUUAACGAGGCGAACCGGGGGAACUGAAACAUCUAAGUACCCCGAGGAAAAGAAAUCAACCGAGAUUCCCCCAGUAGCGGCGAGCGAACGGGGAGCAGCCCAGAGUCUGAAUCAGCUUGUGUGUUAGUGGAAGCGUCUGGAAAGUCGCACGGUACAGGGUGACAGUCCCGUACACGAAAGCACACAGGCUGUGAACUCGAAGAGUAGGGCGGGACACGUGGUAUCCUGUCUGAAUAUGGGGGGACCAUCCUCCAAGGCUAAAUACUCCUGACUGACCGAUAGUGAACCAGUACCGUGAGGGAAAGGCGAAAAGAACCCCGGCGAGGGGAGUGAAAAAGAACCUGAAACCGUGUACGUACAAGCAGUGGGAGCACCUUCGUGGUGUGACUGCGUACCUUUUGUAUAAUGGGUCAGCGACUUAUAUUCUGUAGCAAGGUUAACCGUAUAGGGGAGCCGAAGGGAAACCGAGUCUUAACUGGGCGUUAAGUUGCAGGGUAUAGACCCGAAACCCGGUGAUCUAGCCAUGGGCAGGUUGAAGGUUGGGUAACACUAACUGGAGGACCGAACCGACUAAUGUUGAAAAAUUAGCGGAUGACUUGUGGCUGGGGGUGAAAGGCCAAUCAAACCGGGAGAUAGCUGGUUCUCCCCGAAAGCUAUUUAGGUAGCGCCUCGUGAACUCAUCUUCGGGGGUAGAGCACUGUUUCGGCUAGGGGGCCAUCCCGGCUUACCAACCCGAUGCAAACUACGAAUACCGAAGAAUGUUAUCACGGGAGACACACGGCGGGUGCUAACGUCCGUCGUGAAGAGGGAAACAACCCAGACCGCCAGCUAAGGUCCCAAAGUCAUGGUUAAGUGGGAAACGAUGUGGGAAGGCACAGACAGCCAGGAUGUUGGCUUAGAAGCAGCCAUCAUUUAAAGAAAGCGUAAUAGCUCACUGGUCGAGUCGGCCUGCGCGGAAGAUGUAACGGGGCUAAACCAUGCACCGAAGCUGCGGCAGCGACGCGUAUGCGUUGUUGGGUAGGGGAGCGUUCUGUAAGCCGUUGAAGGUGUGCUGUGAGGCAUGCUGGAGGUAUCAGAAGUGCGAAUGCUGACAUAAGUAACGAUAAAGCGGGUGAAAAGCCCGCUCGCCGGAAGACCAAGGGUUCCUGUCCAACGUUAAUCGGGGCAGGGUGAGUCGACCCCUAAGGCGAGGCCGAAAGGCGUAGUCGAUGGGAAACAGGUUAAUAUUCCUGUACUUGGUGUUACUGCGAAGGGGGGACGGAGAAGGCUAUGUUAGCCGGGCGACGGUUGUCCCGGUUUAAGCAUGUAGGCGGAGGUUCCAGGUAAAUCCGGUACCUUUUAACGCUGAGGUGUGAUGACGAGGCACUACGGUGCUGAAGUAACAAAUGCCCUGCUUCCAGGAAAAGCCUCUAAGCAUCAGGUAACAUCAAAUCGUACCCCAAACCGACACAGGUGGUCAGGUAGAGAAUACCAAGGCGCUUGAGAGAACUCGGGUGAAGGAACUAGGCAAAAUGGUGCCGUAACUUCGGGAGAAGGCACGCUGAUAUGUAGGUGAAGCCCCUGCGGGUGGAGCUGAAAUCAGUCGAAGAUACCAGCUGGCUGCAACUGUUUAUUAAAAACACAGCACUGUGCAAACACGAAAGUGGACGUAUACGGUGUGACGCCUGCCCGGUGCCGGAAGGUUAAUUGAUGGGGUUAGCGGCAACGCGAAGCUCUUGAUCGAAGCCCCGGUAAACGGCGGCCGUAACUAUAACGGUCCUAAGGUAGCGAAAUUCCUUGUCGGGUAAGUUCCGACCUGCACGAAUGGCGUAAUGAUGGCCAGGCUGUCUCCACCCGAGACUCAGUGAAAUUGAACUCGCUGUGAAGAUGCAGUGUACCCGCGGCAAGACGGAAAGACCCCGUGAACCUUUACUAUAGCUUGACACUGAACACUGGUCCUUGAUGUGUAGGAUAGGUGGGAGGCUUUGAAGCGUGGACGCCAGUCUGCGUGGAGCCGUCCUUGAAAUACCACCCUUUAAUGGCUGGUGUUCUAACGUAGACCCGUAAUCCGGGUUGCGGACAGUGUCUGGUGGGUAGUUUGACUGGGGCGGUCUCCUCCCAAAGAGUAACGGAGGAGCACGAAGGUUAGCUAAUCCUGGUCGGACAUCAGGAGGUUAGUGCAAUGGCAUAAGCUAGCUUGACUGCGAGAGUGACGGCUCGAGCAGGUGCGAAAGCAGGUCAUAGUGAUCCGGUGGUUCUGAAUGGAAGGGCCAUCGCUCAACGGAUAAAAGGUACUCCGGGGAUAACAGGCUGAUACCGCCCAAGAGUUCAUAUCGACGGCGGGGUUUGGCACCUCGAUGUCGGCUCAUCACAUCCUGGGGCUGAAGUAGGUCCCAAGGGUAUGGCUGUUCGCCAUUUAAAGUGGUACGCGAGCUGGGUUUAGAACGUCGUGAGACAGUUCGGUCCCUAUCUGCCGUGGGCGCUGGAGAAUUGAGGGGGGCUGCUCCUAGUACGAGAGGACCGGAGUGGACGCAUCACUGGUGUUCGGGUUGUCAUGCCAAUGGCACUGCCCGGUAGCUAAAUGCGGAAAAGAUAAGUGCUGAAAGCAUCUAAGCACGAAACUUGCCCCGAGAUGAGUUCUCCCUGACCCUUUAAGGGUCCUGAAGGAACGUUGAAGACGACGACGUUGAUAGGUCGGGUGUGUAAGCGCAGCGAUGCGUUGAGCUAACCGAUACUAAUGAACCGUGAGGCUUAACCUU